AUUGCGAGCCGAACCCGGGAGCGGGCGCCAUGGUGCUGUUGCACGUGCUGUUUGAGCAUGCUGUCGGCUACGCGCUGCUGGCGCUGAAGGAAGUGGAGGAGAUCAGUCUGCUGCAGCCGCAGGUGGAGGAGUCCGUGCUCAACCUGGGCAAAUUCCACAACAUCGUUCGUCUGGUGGCCUUUUGUCCCUUUGCGUCAUCCCAGGUUGCCUUGGAAAAUGCCAACGCCGUGUCUGAAGACCUGAAUGCAAUUGUUCCCAUGGCUGGGCCAGGCUUUGCAGUGAUGACUUGCGAAUCAAAUCUGUCAAUCCGCUGAGUGCAGUCACUGAUGUCUCCAUGUCUCUGAGCAAUGCCUGAUGGGGAGGGAUCUAGGGGUUGUUCAUGAGGACCUCCGCCUGCUCUUGGAGACGCACCUGCCGUCCAAAAAGAAGAAAGUACUCUUGGGAGUUGGGGAUCCCAAGAUUGGUGCCGCGAUACAGGAGGAGUUAGGGUACAACUGCCAGACUGGAGGCGUCAUAGCUGAGAUCCUGCGAGGAGUUCGUCUGCACUUCCACAAUCUGGUGAAGGGUCUGACCGAUCUGUCAGCUUGUAAAGCACAGCUGGGGCUGGGACACAGCUAUUCCCGUGCCAAAGUUAAGUUUAAUGUGAACCGUGUGGACAAUAUGAUCAUCCAGUCCAUUAGCCUCCUGGACCAGCUGGAUAAGGACAUCAAUACCUUCUCUAUGCGUGUCAGGGAGUGGUACGGGUAUCACUUUCCGGAGCUGGUGAAGAUCAUCAACGACAAUGCCACAUACUGCCGUCUCGCCCAGUUUAUUGGAAACCGAAGGGAACUGAAUGAGGACAAGCUGGAGAAGCUGGAGGAGCUAACAAUGGAUGGGGCCAAGGCUAAGGCUAUUCUGGAUGCCUCACGGUCCUCCAUGG
rnacentral:sRNA from 1 species